rnacentral:rRNA from 1 species
AUUGAACGCUGGCGGCAGGCCUAACACAUGCAAGUCGAGCGGAUGAAGGGAGCUUGCUCCUGGAUUCAGCGGCGGACGGGUGAGUAAUGCCUAGGAAUCUGCCUGGUAGUGGGGGAUAACGUCCGGAAACGGGCGCUAAUACCGCAUACGUCCUGAGGGAGAAAGUGGGGGAUCUUCGGACCUCACGCUAUCAGAUGAGCCUAGGUCGGAUUAGCUAGUUGGUGGGGUAAAGGCCUACCAAGGCGACGAUCCGUAACUGGUCUGAGAGGAUGAUCAGUCACACUGGACCUGAGACACGGUCCAGCCUCCUACGGGAGGCAGCAGUGGGGAAUAUUGGACAAUGGGCGAAAGCCUGAUCCAGCCAUGCCGCGUGUGUGAAGAAGGUCUUCGGAUUGUAAAGCACUUUAAGUUGGGAGGAAGGGCAGUAAGUUAAUACCUUGCUGUUUUGACGUUACCAACAGAAUAAGCACCGGCUAACUUCGUG